rnacentral:misc_RNA from 1 species
UCCGGUUUAACACCGGCAGUCUCCAUAGAGUGCCCAACUGAAUGGUGGCAACUAGGGAUAAGGGUUGCGCUCGUUAAGGGACUUAACCCGACAUCUCACGAUACGAGCUGACGACAGCCAUGCAGCACCUAAACCACAGGCACCCGAAGGUGAAACCGUAUCUCUACGGCUGUCCUGUGUUGUCUAACCCAGGUAAGGUUCUUCGCGUUGCAUCGAAUUAAACCACAUGCUCCACCGCUUGUGCGGGCCCCCGUCAAUUCCUUUGAGUUUUAACCUUGCGGCCGUACUUCCCAGGCGGAGUACUUAAUGCGUUAGCUGCGGCACUGUAGGGGUCAAUUCCCACAACACCUAGUACUCAUCGUUUACAGCGUGGACUAC